AUGCAACUGUGGCGAACACGGCGCCACAAUUCAAACAUCAAGAACCUCAAAAUUAAAAGUGAAUUUAUUUAAUAUACAAAAUAUGAAAUCAUUUAUCUCAACUGCAUAACCAGCGCAUGUGGCAAUUUUAAGUUCCCUGAUUGGAUGUUUCUUGCCGAAAUUCACCAUGGGAGUCGUAGUUGACUUCUGGUGCUUUUUUUUUGGAAAAAAAUGUUUUAUUACUAAGGACAAUUAGCAAAUCCUGUCGAUUUGACGAUGCUGCGUUCAAGCGAUAGGGGAAAUCCCCCUUCAGAGGACCACUGAACCCAUCUGUUAUAUAAAUCUAACUUUUACAAUGCCAACGCUCAUAGCCUACAAUAACAACGACAGCAAUAGCUAUAAGGGUCAAUAAUUUAUCUAAUUACUGUUAUCAUUUAUUAUUAUUACUUAUAAUAAAUGUGUCACCAGAUUUGAUCAUCACUGUGUGACCAAGUAGUAACGCCCUGAACGCUAAAAAAAAAAACCGGACGGCAGAAAUUAGAAAGAAAAUCUAGACUUGAUGGAAAAAAUGAAAAAAAAAAACAAAAAAAAAACAAAAAAACCUUGAGACAGGUCCAGUGGAAAAACUAAAAAUGAACGUGUAAAGAGGAAAUGCAUUGCGGACACGAGUGGGAUAUUUAGUUAUUUAUUAUUAAAAGUAUAUAUACUUUGAUUGUUGUUAAUUUGUUUAAUUUUGGGCAACAUGACAAAAAAAAAAAAAAAAAAAAGCCAAGUAGCGCUUAGCUUCUUGACUAGCUGGCAUUACUCUAGCUCUGUGGUCUCGAGCGCCCUCAUGUGGAUGUUGUCAUCUACAGUAAGCCCUUGGUGUCAGGUAAAAAAACUGUAGCUAUUGAGUUGGUCCUGUCUUCCAGUUUACCAAGUUUCUCUAAUGUUUUUUUUGUAUACACUUUCAGAAGAUCUCGCCCCGUAUUUGAGUUGCUGAAAGCAGAACACAUCUGCUACUGGCAAAGCAUGCAUGGUACAUAUAUAAUUAUAAACUAGUAUAGCCCUUCUGACCAUAUACAAGAUUUUUUUUUUCACUGACUUCAUUUUCCAGGCUACAAGUCACAGGCUUGCCAGGUCUACUAAAGAUCACCAGAGCAGACGUUACAGGUUAUUUCAAUGCAGUUUAAGAAGAGGUGCAUUUUUUUGUUUGUUUGUCUGUUUGUUUCAGAGUAAAGCAAGUGUAAAUCUACCUAAACCAAAGUGGCUGACCAAGGAAGUAUGCAGGAAGUAUUCAGAUCUUUUGCUUAGGUAGUACUAACAUCAAAUUAUAUAAAGACACUGUUACAAGGAAAAAGUGAAAAGGACUCAAUGCAGAAAUGUAAACACAUUGAGCCUCAGAGAACAACCAGUACUCCAAACCUAGGUCCCCAAAUUACAAUGCAUACACCUGCAAUGCACCUGCUUUAAGGACAUUUUUAUUCACAAUUUUGCUGAAGUGCUGCAGAUUCAGGACAGAUUUAUGGUAGUCCUUUUUGGCCCUGUGUGCCUCUUGCCAGUGGAUUCACACUAUUUAAGGGAGCUGUUUGUCAUUUCUGCCCCUGCUAUAAACAAAUGGGGUGGGGGGCAGUAUUGCCCCACUUCUCAAUGUUUAGUUCAAAGUUUAGUUUUUGUUAUUUAUUAGACAUAUUUCAUUUGUUUCUUUGCAAAUUCAGGGUUGCAAGUUGUUACAAUUGUAAGGACCCAAAUAAUUACUACUAAAGAUGUCAUUAUUUACCCAUAUAUUCACUACUCCUCUGUUUCAUCUCUGCAUUAUUUACUUACACAAUAAUGAUAGAAAUUUUUUAUAGGCAUACAUUGAUUCAAAUUCUGAGAACAGCUCAUUCUAUUGGUGUAACAAAAACAGGUCUGUGUAAGCAGGCAUGCUAAACAGCAAAUGGAAUCUACAUUUGAGUAAAACUGGCACAAAAGCCUUUUAUGUCACUGACAUUUAUUACAAAGUUACCAAAUUUGAGAAAAUAUAAGGAAAGCUGCUCAUAGACUGGUAGAAGAAGGAAUUUGCAACAGUCAACAGUCAAAGUUGCUGGAGGUAGGCAUUUCAGGGCCUUGGCCACCUUUCACAUCGCCUUGAGCCAGGCACGCUCCAGAAGAUAAACAAAGAUAAAGAUCAAGUUUAUGAUAGGCAGUUCGCUCUUAUAAAGCUGGACAGGUGAUAACUGUGCAGCAUCGGUCGUCAGUGUUUUAUCACUUGCGCUGCUGGUAGGUGAUUGUGAUUUGUUUUGCUUACCGGUCAGGUGUAGUGUUGAGUGAUUGGGCUUUAGUGUGUUAGCCUAAACCCGACAGCUGGUUUAGGCUAACACACUAAAGCCCAAGGUUUGUUUUGGUGUUUUCUGGCAUUUUGUCUUAGAUGAGAUUGUGGGGAAAUCCUACUUUGGGUCAGUUUGAGCUGCGUAGGAAGUGUGAUUUGUUUGAAAUAGCUGGUCAUUAAAAUUGUUGUUCUUACCGGGUUAGUUAGUAAAGGGGUGUUUACCAAACCUGUGUCUCAAUCUUUGGUCGGCAGCCUCUCUGUUCCACAGGUGGAAGAGGUGGCUGGGCCGUGGCCUGUUGAUCCUACUUAUGGUGUAGGAGAAGCUGGGCCGGAGAUUAAGCCAUUUACGCUGCCUCAGUUGGAGCCACUCUCUAGCGAGUUGUCUCUUGGCUGAAAGGUAGAUGCUCAGUUAAAGCUCCGGAUAGCUCGCCCGCAGCUAGAAACGCAGGAGAGGAAGGAGGAACGGCAGUUUCAGCUCUGGAUAGAGUUGGAGCUUAAAAGGUUAAAAGACAGAGACUGCCAUUAAGACGCGCCAGCUGGAGCUGCAGAAGGCCGCAGUCUGCGCUCCUGUCAGUGCUCAGUCUUCUGAUUCCUCCACAUUUGAUGUAAAGCCGAUGACCAGCGUCCGGUCCCGGUGCUGCCAGACACUGCUUGCUCACAGUCCCUCAUCCUUUCCGGACUUACUGUGUUUGGGUGCUGACUGUGAUGUGAGUGCAGCGGUGAGAGGUUGCACCCUGCUGGUGAUUCAGCGGAUUGUCUGGCCAAGGAGCUGGAAAAUGAGCUGCGUGCUCCUGCAGACCCCAUGCCGCUGACUCAUAAACCUCUGAUCAGCGGCCCAGAAAGGUGUUUAACCUAGAAGCACACUGGCAAGAGUGGUGAAAAACAGUCAUUUUUCAUUGACAACGGCAUGUUGAUGGGCAAGUGGGUCUCAAAAGCAGGUGGUAGUGAUGAGGGCUUCACUACAGUGUACCAAAUGGAAGUUCCUGUUAAUCACAUCCUUAAACAUUUUGUUUGGCCGGUAUGAAGGCAGAGAGGAGGAAUUGCAGUCCUCUCCCUGCAUUAGGUGCAAAAUGCAAUUCCUCCCCUCCUGUCAAAACUAACACCCAGAGCGUUUGAUAUUUCAGCAUUUUGUCACCCCUGACCACUUUCUGCAGUAUGAUGUGAUGGCUUUUGGCCUGAAUGCAGCUGCUACCUUCCAACGUCUGCCACAUCUCCCUACACUAAGUGUAUCAAACUGUAAUCUGUGUUUAGGUGAUGUAGUUGUGUAUUCUCACUUGUGGACAGAGUACGUGUCCAAGGCAUCACUGACAUUAAACCUUGUUGCAGGAUGUCAAACAGGGGUUUGAGCCAAAUGUGUUUGUUUUUUUUUCUUUAAGUUUAAACACCACCAGCUGAACUGCUCCACCAGAGAGAAGGAGACACUAGCCAUGCUCCUUGCCCUUCAGCACUUCCAAGUCUAUGCCAGCUCCAGCCAAUCCCCUGUGAUUGUUUACGCCGAACACAACCCUCUUGUGUUUCUAGCCCAGAUAUACAACCACAGUCAGUGCCUAUUCUGCGGGGCUCUGUUGGUAGCCUAUAGCAAUCCAGUUACCCACCGAUGUAGAUCAUGAGAUUGUCUAUUUAACUUGUGAAUAAA